CGAACGCUGGCGGCGUGCUUAACACAUGCAAGUCGAACGCGAAAGGGACUUCGGUCCUGAGUAAAGUGGCGCACGGGUGAGUAACGCGUAGAUAACCUGUCUUCAUGUCUGGAAUAAUACGCCGAAAGGGGUACUAAUACCGGAUAUUCUUGCUUUUCAUAAGUUAUGCAAGCAAAGGUGGCCUCUGCAUAUGCUACUGCAUGAAGAGGGGUCUGCGUACCAUUAGCUAGUAGGUGGGGUAAUGGCCUACCUAGGCGACGAUGGUUAGCGGGUCUGAGAGGAUGAUCCGCCACACUGGCACUGGAACACGGGCCAGACUCCUACGGGAGGCAGCAGUGAGGAAUAUUGCGCAAUGGGGGAAACCCUGACGCAGCGACGCCGCGUGAAGUGAGGAAGGCCUUCGGGUCGUAAAGCUCGGUCAAGAGGAAAGAAGUGUACAAUGGCUAAUACCUGUUGUAUUUGACGGUACCUCUAAAGGAAGCACCGGCUAACUCCGUGCCAGCCGCCGC
rnacentral:rRNA from 1 species